GGCGCUAUAGCCAAGUGGUUACGGCGACAGAUUAGAAUGCAUAAAAGUUUGCGAUCUACAAAUUCCAUCUGUUCCUCUUUGAGGGCGCAGGUUCAAAUUCUGCUGGCGUCG